CGCUGAGCUUGCAAAAGCAUGGAAACGGAAAUAUAUAUGUUUUUUGAUCCUGGGGGAGCUCAAACAAAACUCUCGAUGUCAGCCUUUAAUUGGUGUGUGUUAGAGCAAGAGACACUGGGCAGAUACACCUGUUUGUUUGUUUUUGUUUUUAAUGAGUACAGAUAGGCUUCGUCAAAGUGGUGCUGCUGAGCACCUCAGGGAAGUGAGAGUCAGGAUAGGUGCAUGAGUAACUCCAGGUUCAGGCACCACCUUAUCCAAAUCUGAAGGCAAAGGCAUGACUCCUUUUGCAUCUCUCUCUCUCUCUCUCUCUCUCUUUUUUUUUUUUUUUCUUGUUUUCUUCCUCCCCUGUAAAAAUAUUAAAUGAAAAGAUCCCUUAAAACAAAUAAUCAAACAAACAAAAACCAGCAGUUUGAAUUCUGUGACUCAGGACUUUCUCCUGUAUGUUCACCCUGCUAUUUGCGUAGAGAUGAUCACAGGUGAGCACCAGGCAUUUAGAGAGGGUUAUUAAGUGGGUCAAAUGAGCAACAAGGGGAAUUGUGAGCAGUCUGGGGUAUGGCCAGCUGUGUUAAGUUGUGCACAGGUGGUGGCAAUGUUGCUGGGUGGUGUAGCUGUUGCCUGAGUCUCCUUGUAAGCUAAUUCACCGAGUGAUGCAGAGUGCGUCUUGGAGCCCAAACGUCCAUCAUGUGAAGGAUGGUGAAAGGAAUCUUAUCAGUGGAGUCAGGAUUAAUUCAAUGAGGAAGACUGUGAUGGUUUUACUCAGCUGGGCAGUUGAGCUCCACCACAACUGCUCUCUCAGUCCUUCUCCUUGAAGGGAAGGGGGGAGAAAAUAUGAUAGGAAGAGCUCAAGGCUUGAGACAAGGAUAGGGAGAUCACUCAUCAAUUAUUGUCAUGGGCAAAACAGGCUCAGCAUAGGGAGGCUAAUAUAAUUUAUUGCCUAUUACUAACAAGCUAGCACAGUAAGAACUAAAAGCAAAGCAAAACCACCUUCCCCUCAUCCAUCCUCUUCUACCUCCUCCCUGCAAGCAGAGAAGGAAAGGGGGCUGCAGUCAGUCCCUGUCGCUUCACCUCCGCUGCUCCUUCAUGGUCACUCUCUGCCCCUCCUCCACAUGGGAUCCCUCAGCCAGCAGCUCUUCAAGACCUGCUCCCACAUGGCU
rnacentral:lncRNA from 1 species